rnacentral:rRNA from 1 species
GACGAACGCUGGCGGCGUGCUUAACACAUGCAAGUCGAACGGGAAACCUUUUAUUGAAGCUUCGGCAGAUUUAGAUUGUUUCUAGUGGCGGACGGGUGAGUAACGCGUGGGUAACCUGCCUUAUACAGGGGGAUAACAGUCAGAAAUGACUGCUAAUACCGCAUAAGCGCACAGAGCUGCAUGGCUCGGUGUGAAAAACUCCGGUGGUAUAAGAUGGACCCGCGUUGGAUUAGCUUGUUGGCAGGGUAACGGCCUACCAAGGCGACGAUCCAUAGCCGGCCUGAGAGGGUGAACGGCCACAUUGGGACUGAGACACGGCCCAGACUCCUACGGGAGGCAGCAGUGGGGAAUAUUGCACAAUGGGGGAAACCCUGAUGCAGCGACGCCGCGUGAAGGAAGAAGUAUCUCGGUAUGUAAACUUCUAUCAGCAGGGAAGAAAAUGACGGUAC